rnacentral:lncRNA from 1 species
UGCGCAUGGCAUGGGCUGCAAUGGUGUUUCUGUCAAUCACCAUGGUAGUUUUGGUUCUGAUAUGGACAGCACAAGCUCGUCAUGAUCAAGAACUUCAUUCUUUAGAUGGUUCUGUCAAACCUCAAUCUUCAACAACAAAUUCAUUGGAAUCCCAAGCAAAUAAUGAAGUGAUCAAAGAUCACUCAUCAAAUCCUAAUUCAGUCUAGAAAAUUGCAAAUUUCAUAAUUGUUACUCGGGAAGACAAUGCCACAAGCAGCUUCCAAGAACACCGGCUAUAGCAUCAACACAAUAGUUUGUACAGGUAGAGAUACAAAAAUUGCGAUAAGGAUAGCCAUAGACUAUGAAGGCAGACAAAGAAAUAGAAAGCCUAGUAGAAACAAGAUUAAAGUUUAUAUUUUUUACUAUCAUAGCAUUACAGAUUUUGCUUCUAUAAUAUCAUAUAGGGUCAAAUCUGGGGAUCAACCCCAUAACACAGAUGUAAUGUUGCUUGUUCAGCAAUAAAAAAGAAAAAUUCCUUUUAUCUAGAUUUUAGUUGCAGGAAGAAAUUUACUUUUACUUUUUUUUUAAAAAUCUUUUCGAAAGUUGCUAUAAAGUAAAGGAUAAAAAGUAAAAUCAUAAUCAGUUAGAAAAGAACAAAUAGUGAAAAUGCUUUACUAAUUAUCAUAUAAUUAAUCUAUAUAAAAAUAUAAAAAUAAAUUAUUUAUUUUCUUAUCGAAAAAAAUACAUAUUUUAUCUAUAUUCUUUAAAAAUAUGUUUACUUUUGUACAUAAACAAGUUCUUCUAUUUUUUAUUUAAAAAAUUAAAAGUAAAUUAAUAAAAAUAUCAACUAAAUAAAAUUAUUAAAAAAAACUUAAUAAAACCAAUCAAGUUCAGAUAAAAUUUUUCUUCGAAUCGCAAUACUCUAGUUACAAUACAUUUACUCUUGAUUUUGGUUAUAAAACGAGUCAAUCUUUGAAUUUAAAAAGCACGCAUGCUUAUAAUAAGGAUAUCAAAAUUUAUCCAUAUCUUAUGGAGAUUUCAACUUUUUAAUUAAAUGGAAAUGAGUUUUACUGAUAUGAAAACAAAUAUAAUUUUAAAUUUUUUAUUAGAUAUAAGGAUACAAACGAAUAAUAUAGCAUUUUUAUCCAUUCAUUAUAUAUAUAAUAAAUAAAUUUUUUAUUAAAUAAUAAAAUUAUUAUUAUGAUUAGUUUAAAUUAAUAUAUUUUAUUUUAAAAAAAUAUAUUAAUAUAUAUUUAUAAAAAAAUAUAUAAAUAUGCAAGAUAAAAAUAAAAAAAUUAAAAAAUAUAUUUAAAAUUUAGUUUUUUUUAAAAGGUUAUUGGUACGAAAAUUAUCCUAUUCAUUAAUUAUCAACGAAGAUUAAGAUGAAAAUAGAUUUAAAAUACUUAUUGGACAUUGGUGCAAAAAUAAAUAUAAUAUAACAAUCAAGGAUAGAUAUGGACAUAGGUGAAUCUGUAUUUUUCAAAGGGUAUCCUCAAACACCUCACAAAUAAUGAAAAAUAAGAAAAAUUGAAGGAAAAUUUUUCUUAGAGAUCCCUUAAAAUUUCUUCUCGAUACCCCCAAACAUUGAAAAAUGAAAAAUUUUGAAGAAAAAACACCCAUUUCAUUGACAAGAUUGAUAAAUUUAUCAAAAAUUUUUAUAUAUACCAUAAGUGGACACUCUAAAAAUAAAUUCUUAAAUCCAUAGUUAAAGAUAAAAAGUAUACUAUUCAUCUCAUAUCCCAUCUAUUGAUAUUAAAGGAGUUAAAUGAGUCAUGUUGAGUUGGCAUAGCUCAUUUAAAUAUUAGUCUAUGUGUUAAUAGAUCGUGUCAACUUAACAUUAUUAUUUUAACGUGUCAUGCUGUCACAACUCAUGAAAAUUAAGGAUAUGGCUCAACAUGGCACAUGGCCUAAAAUCUUCAUGGGUUGUGCCAUGCUAGGCACAAUACUAUUUUUCAUGCAUAAUCCAUUAAUACUUUUUCAAAUUUUAAUUAUUUUAAAAAAAUUUCCAACUAUUAUUAUUAAAAAUAACAUGUGAAAAAUAAAUAAACAAAAAUGAAAUAAAAAGAACACAUAAUUUACGUGAUUCGACAAAAUGUCUAUAUCCACAUAGAUGAAUAAUAAAAUUCAUUAAACAAAAAUAUUGAAAUUAUAAUCAUAAUAUCUUAAAAAACAUACACACACAAUUUUUCAAUACCAAGUACUACGCAUGUAACUAUAGUUUUGCAAUUAGUCUAUAAAUAAAAUUUUAUAGGAAAUUUUUUAUAGACUAGAUAUUAAAUUUUCUUUAUAAGAAAAAAUUUUAAAAGCAUCUAAUCUAACAUUAUUUCUUGAACCUAUUUUAUAAUAAGGUAGUAUACCAUUACUAAUUAAAUCAUUAAAAUGUUUAUCAUCAGCAAAAAAUAAAUGGUUGCUCAUAUUAUAUUAUAAAUUUAGCUGAUUAAUUAUGUCAAUUAUCUUAUAAAAAAUAAAAUGCAUCUAAAAACUCAUUAAGAUGUUGACUAAGUGUAAUUUGUGUAAAAUUAUUAGAAGCGGCAUAUGUAAUCUUGUUUUUUUAUGCCAUUUUAGAUUAUUAGUCCUUCCUUUUAUUUUACAACUAAAAUCUUAUAUAUAUAUAUAUAUGUUUUAAGUUUGAAAAUUUUGAUUAUAUAACUUUGAAAAGAAUAUUAAUUUAUUUUUAUACACAUAAAUUUAAAUAAAUAAAAAUAAUCCAUGCAUCAAAUAAUUCGUAAACUAGUUAAAUAUAAUUUAUUUAUUAAUAAUUUAAAUAUUUGGUAGUAAAUUUAUUCAAUAUAAUCUUAUUUUAUAAAUUACAAAAAAUAAAUGUAAUUUCAUUAGAAUAUAAUAAAUAAUAUGAAUACACUCCUAAGUCAAAAGCCCAUUUAUAAUAAUUACAUACAAAUACGACAUGACACAAUUGAACUUGUAUAUAGGAGAUGUACUGCACAAAACGCAGGAACCCUUUGCCCGUUUAAAAAAAAAAACACUUACUAAAGGUGAGAAAAUUGACCUGAAGAUUUUUUUCUUACUCUUUCAGGCUAAUUGCAUUAUGUUGGAUCUUGACAAUCCUAUGCUGGUUGUUCUUUGGGAUUUAUUUCUUCUUGGAAAAGUAAGUACAAGUUUAUCUGUUUUCCUCUUUACUUAAUAAAUUUCAAGAUUUUCCUAGGUUGCUUGAAAUGUUUGCACUCAUAAGUGAUGACUCAAACAAAUGUUCAAUUCCAGGUUCUCAGGUGAUACAUGUACAGCUCUUGAAAACUUCCAGGAAAAUCCCUACAACAACAGUUUGAGCUCAAUCCUCCCUUUUGAUGAAUUGCUCUCUGCAAGACCAAUCCUGUUUGAUGUUACUGUCGGAAUCUACAACCUUGUUAAUGAGGUAAAUUGUAGUUUUAGUUCAUAUGUUACAAUCUUUAGAACUAGUUUGAGUCUAGCAUUUCAUGACAGAAAAUGUAUCUCUUCAUGGCAUUGAAUGGUUCAUUCGAAUUCAACUUCCGAAACUGAUCCAAUGCAUAAAAUUUCAUUAAACUUAAAGGUUCCUUAGAAUGUUAAAGUCCUCAGAGUGCAAUGGCAAACAUCAAAUAGUUUCAUUUACAUUUUGUCCUUUGAAUUUCUAUUUUGUAAUGGAAACAAGUACUUCAACAUUUGCACAAUUUGCUUAUGAUUCAAUUCGCCUUCUGUUUACUGUUCUUCAGGUGAAUUCGAACAUAUCACAACUGCAAGCAACAACAUAUCCAAAUCUUGCUUACGUUUGCAAUCCUUUCUCUGCGCCGCCAGAAUAUAUAUACCAGCCGGAUAACUGUCCUGCUAAUACGAUUAAGAUUGGCGACAUACCAAAGGUAUGCAGAAGGAAAUCAAAUAUCAAAUAUGUUCAUGCAUUGUUGCUAGCAUUUAUCCAUGACUAAUUGACUGAUCUCUUUGUAGAUAUUGAUUCUGUUUACUUGUUCUGAUGCCAAUAGUGGAACCUGUCAAGAGGGACAAUUCAUAUCUGCUAGUGAUUACAAAACAGUGGAGGCUUACACAAUUUCAAUUCAAAACCUGCUAAAUGUUUAUCCUGACAUGGAAAGCCUAGUAGAAUGCCAGUCAGUGAAGGACGUGUUUUCUGAGAUCCUUCGCGACCACUGCAAACCAGUGAAGAGAUCCGUGCGCAUGGCAUGGGCUGCAAUGGUGUUUCUGUCAAUCACCAUGGUAGUUUUGGUUCUGAUAUGGACAGCACAAGCUCGUCAUGAUCAAGAACUUCAUUCUUUAGAUGGUUCUGUCAAACCUCAAUCUUCAACAACAAAUUCAUUGGAAUCCCAAGCAAAUAAUGAAGUGAUCAAAGAUCACUCAUCAAAUCCUAAUUCAGUC